rnacentral:rRNA from 1 species
AUUGAACGCUGGCGGCAGGCCUAACACAUGCAAGUCGAACGGUAACAGAAAGCAGCUUGCUGCUUUGCUGACGAGUGGCGGCCGGGUGAGUAAUGUCUGGGAAACUGCCUGAUGGAGGGGGAUAACUACUGGAAACGGUAGCUAAUACCGCAUAACGUCGCAAGACCAAAGAGGGGGACCUUCGGGCCUCUUGCCACCGAUUGUGCCCAGAUGGGAUUAGCUAGUAGGGGGGGUAAAGGCUCACCUAGGCGACGAUCCCUAGCUGGUCUGAGAGGAUGACCAGCCACACUGGAACUGAGACACGGUCCAGACUCCUACGGGAGGCAGCAGUGGGGAAUAUUGCACAAUGGGCGCAAGCCUGAUGCAGCCAUGCCGCGUGUAUGAAGAAGGCCUUCGGGUUGUAAAGUACUUUCAGCGGGGAGGAAGGGAGUAAAGUUAAUACCUUUGCUCAUUGACGUUACCCGCAGAAGAAGCACCGGCUAACUCCGUG